rnacentral:rRNA from 1 species
GGUUAAGCGACUAAGCGUACACGGUGGAUGCCCUGGCAGUCAGAGGCGAUGAAGGGCGUGCUAAUCUGCGAUAAGCGCCGGUAAGGUGAUAUGAACCGUUAUAACCGGCGAUACCCGAAUGGGGAAACCCAGUGUGACUCGUCACACUAUCAUUAACUGAAUCCAUAGGUUAAUGAGGCGAACCGGGGGAACUGAAACAUCUAAGUACCCCGAGGAAAAGAAAUCAACCGAGAUUCCCCCAGUAGCGGCGAGCGAACGGGGAGGAGCCCAGAGCCUGAAUCAGCAUGUGUGUUAGUGGAAGCGUCUGGAAAGGCGCGCGAUACAGGGUGACAGCCCCGUACACAAAAGCGCAUGUGCUGUGAGCUCGAUGAGUAGGGCGGGACACGUGGUAUCCUGUCUGAAUAUGGGGGGACCAUCCUCCAAGGCUAAAUACUCCUGACUGACCGAUAGUGAACCAGUACCGUGAGGGAAAGGCGAAAAGAACCCCGGCGAGGGGAGUGAAAAAGAACCUGAAACCGUGUACGUACAAGCAGUGGGAGCCCCACCACCAAAGCAUUUGCUGUACCGCGUUGACGGAGCGAAGCGACGUCAAACCGAUAAAACAGCAGUGUAAAGUGAGCCGCAGGGCGCUUUGCGCGACAGCGCAAAGGCAGGCGGUUUCGCGUAGCGAAAGCGAAUGCUUUGGGGUGGGGUGACUGCGUACCUUUUGUAUAAUGGGUCAGCGACUUAUAUUCUGUAGCAAGGUUAACCGAAUAGGGGAGCCGGAGGGAAACCGAGUCUUAAUUGGGCGUUAAGUUGCAGGGUAUAGACCCGAAACC